CCCCCUCUAAAUUAUAGUGAUUAAACAGAUUUGAAUAAUUUCUCCUGCUUUCAGUAGGUGUAGUGAUUACACUGAUGAGAAUAAUCUGCCUUUCUGGUGGAAGGUAGGACAGGCCAAAACUGUAAUAAUUAAAGGCUGGUUUAUGUUAUUUUUUACAAGAUACGAAUUAUCUAGUAGUUUGAAGGUGCCCAUAACCUUGGGCAUUUUAAAUAAAUGGCCAUUUUUGAAGUUCCGAUUUACCCUUUUGAGAUGGGAUAAUGACAGAGAAGUCACAAAUUUGCUAUGUCAUUCGGAUAAACACUAGCCAUGGGAUAUGAUUCUGUUUGACUGGAUACUUGACUUGAUGUUGGCUGGUACUUUGGUAUAAACAUGCAUUUCCUUGGUUAAUAGUGGUCUGUAUUUAUGUUCUCUCAUGGGCUUAAUCUUCUGCAUUACAUUGAUGUUAAAAAAAAGUUGCUUUAGAAUUUCCCUCGUUCUCAAAAUAGCUGUUUCAUUUUCUCUUUUGCAUUGUCCCAAAAUUUGGGACUUAUUUUAGAAUUAAUGGUCUAAAAUUUAUGGUUUUGUCUAAUAAUACCCUUUUACCCUUUUUAGGUGAAAGUUUUGGAAUGUUAACUUAAUUCUGUUGGCAACACCAUUAAGUUUACAAGUGUGAAUUUUCCUUUGUAACUCGGAAAAUCUGAAUUCUGAAAGAGACUUGAUAUGGAACCGAGGUAGUAAGUUUUGUACGUCUUCAAUA
rnacentral:lncRNA from 1 species